rnacentral:rRNA from 1 species
CCUACGUGGGGCAGCAGUGGGGAAUAUUGGACAAUGGGGGAAACCCUGAUCCAGCGACGCCGCGUGAGUGAAGAAGUAUUUCGGUACGUAAAGCUCUAUCAGCAGGAAAGAAAAUGACGGUACCUGACUAAGAAGCCCCGGCUAACUACGUGCCAGCAGCCGCGGUAAUACGUAGGGGGCAAGCGUUAUCCGGAUUUACUGGUUGGAAAGGGAGCGUAGACGGCAGCGCAAGUCUGGAGUGAAAUGCCGGGGCCCAACCCCGGAACUGCUCUGGAAACUGUGAAGCUGGAGUGCAGGAGAGGUAAGCGGAAUUCCUGGUGUAGGAGUGAAAUCCGUAGAGAUCUGGAGGAAAAUCAGUGGCGAAGGCGACUAUCUGGCACAUAACUGACGCUGAGGAGCGAAAGCGUGGGUAGCAAACAGGAUUAGAUACCCUUGUAGUC